AAAAACAGCACUUUUUGGCAGAAAGGCACUGUAGUUAAGCUCAGGAAGACUUGCUUAGAAAUGAAAAAUCGGUGUCCCAAAUGCAUAAGUGAAUAUGGAUUUGUCUCAUCUCACAAAGAUGAUAACGUAAAACCAAACGAG